CUUUGUUUUCCUGCCUGAAGAAUGCUCCCUGGCCUUAUUCCCAAAGCCCUGAGGACCACAGAGGGGACUGAAGUGAAAAUGGCCCACUGGUUAGAAGUUGCCCACUCCCAUAGGCCACGGAACGUGGACUGCCUGGCCUUCUUCCGCAAUGCCACCAUCCAGCUGCAGCAGCUGAGGCCAGUGGAGGCCCCCAUGGCCAGCCCAGCAGCCGAAUGGUGGGUGGUCCAGGAGUGGCGGCCAGGCUGUGACCAGAGCCAGGGCUUCAGUCAGGACCUGGAGCUCGUCAUCUUUAAUGACAAAGUCAGCCCCCGGAGCCUGGGCUUCCUGGCAGGAUAUGGUGCUGAAGCCCCGUCAUCCCCCCAGCAUUGUUGGGCUCUACGUGUUGGUGGUGAUGGUUGCAGCCAAGUUCAUCCGAGACCACUUCCUCAGCAUUGCCCACUCCAUCAUGUAUGACCAGCUGCCUGAUGUGGACCGCAUGCUGGG
ensembl:lncRNA